rnacentral:sRNA from 1 species
CCAUUUUGAAAUUUAGUGAUAUUUUCAAAUACGUUGUAGUGAAUCCCCCUAUGCGGUGGGGCAAAUCAACUGAAGGCUAUUAAAGAUGCCUAAGAGCGAACCACGGUUAGUUGGCCAAAGGUUCACCGGGAGGCACCCGGCACUACAACCUUCAACUUUGAGCUUUCAGUCGGCGAGUGUGAGUAAGC